rnacentral:tRNA from 1 species
AGUUAAUGAGCUUGUAUUUAAGCAUAUACUUUGAAAGUAUAAUAAAGAGUCAUGCAACUCUAUUGACUU